AUGAUCCUGUGGCUAAACUUGGUUUCUUUACUAGCAGUCCUCAGAGGUGUCCAAUCUGCAGCCCAGUUGGUGGAGUCUGGAGGGGACAUGAGAAGGCCUGGGGAGUCCCUCCGUCUCUUCUGCCAAGCCUCUGGGUUCACCUUCAGUGACUACAGCAUGUACUGGGUGCGACAGGCCCCAGGGAAAGGGCUGGAAUGGGUGGCUUACAUAAGGCAUGAUUCCAGUACUAUUAACUACUCGGAAAACGUCAAGGGACGCUUCACCAUCUCCAGGGACAACUCCAAAAGCCAACUCUAUCUGCAGAUGAACAGCCUGAAGCCGGAGGACUCGGCAGUCUAUUACUGUAUGGGAGACACAGUGGGAGGAAGUGAGUCUGAAGCCUGGCAAAAACCU